AACGCACGCUGGCGGCAGGCUUAACACAUGCAAGUCGAACGGUUGUAGCAAUACAGCAGUGGCAGUCGGGUGAGUAACACGUGGGAACCUUCCUAGGGGUACGGAACAACUCAGGGAAACUUGAGCUAAUACCGUAUACGUCCGUGAGGAGAAAGAUUUAUCGCCCUUAGACGGGCCCGCGUCGGAUUAGCUAGUUGGUGGGGUAACGGCCUACCAAGGCGACGAUCCGUAGCUGAUCUUAGAGGAUGAUCAGCCACACUGGGACUGAGACACGGCCCAGACUCCUACGGGAGGCAGCAGUGGGGAAUCUUGGACAAUGGGCGCACGACUGAUCCAGCCAUGCCGCGUGAGUGGAGAAGGUCUUCGGAUUGUAAAGCUCUUUUGCCAGGGACGAUAAUGACGGUACCUGGAGAAUAAGCCCCGGAAACCUUCGUGCCAGCCGCCGCCGUAA
rnacentral:rRNA from 1 species